AAUAUAAUUUUAUUAUUUUAUAAUAUAUAUAAAAAGCUCAUGGUUUCCUUUUUCUUUUUCUUUGAAUGGGAGCUAAUGCUUAUGGAGUUUUAGUCCUUAUGGAGUUUUAAAAAUCAAUUCCUAAAAUAAAUCAUUUAUUAAAUGUAUCAUGAAUACAUUCAUUUGCUGAUUUUUGUCUCUUCAACGCACUUAGCUUGACACUUCCAUAAAAUACUUACUAAUCAUAAGAAUUCUUUCUUUUUUUUAACACACAUGUACACCUGCCCACACUACACCUCGGUUUAAUACACCUGCCCACACUACACCACGGUGUAGAAGGAAGUGGGCAAUAAUCUUUUGGACAAUCAGAAUUUUCAAAACAUUUAGGAGCAGCUGUAACGAAAAAAGAAAAUAAAAAAAUAUAAAUAUAAUGUCAUAAAAUAUUGGGUAGGAAGUAAAUAGGCAAUAAUCUUUUGGACAAUCAGAAUUUUCAAAACAUUUAGGAGCAGCUGUAACGAAAAAAGAAAAUAAAAAAAUAUAAAUAUAAUGUCAUAAAAUAUUGGGUAGGAAGUAAAUAAAGAAAUUUGAUCAAAAGGAUAGAAAAAAAUACUUACCAUCAGCGUUCAUUGCAACAAGAAGUAUGAAAAGAAAGAUAAACAUAACACAAACAAACUUGACAAUUUCACCCAUAUUUCACCCCUUUGUA
rnacentral:lncRNA from 1 species